CACAAAAUUCUCUCGUUGUAUUGUAUUAUGACUGUAAUACUUGGCGCUUGUCAUGAAGCAGUUUUAUCAAAGGAAAAUAAAUAUGAGUACCUCGAACAAUAGACAAAUUUAAACCCGGAAUAAAUUGAGAACGUUAGUGAACUAUAAGUAAAAUAAGUACAUGAAAAAGUAGCAUAGUAAGGCAUAAAUGAAUGGAUGGAAAG
rnacentral:lncRNA from 1 species